rnacentral:rRNA from 1 species
GCACGAAAGUUAGCCGGGGUCUUCUUCUCCGGUUACCGUCAUUAUCUUCACCGGUGAAAGAGCUUUACAACCCUAGGGCCUUCAUCACUCACGCGGCAUGGCUGGAUCAGGCUUGCGCCCAUUGUCCAAUACUCCCCA